rnacentral:rRNA from 1 species
UGCUUCCUGGUGGCGAGCGGCGGACGGGUGAGUAAUGCAUAGGAAUCUGCCCGAUAGUGGGGGAUAACCUGGGGAAACCCAGGCUAAUACCGCAUACGUCCUACGGGAGAAAGCAGGGGCUCUUCGGACCUUGCGCUAUCGGAUGAGCCUAUGUCGGAUUAGCUAGUUGGUGAGGUAAUGGCUCACCAAGGCGACGAUCCGUAGCUGGUCUGAGAGGAUGAUCAGCCACAUCGGGACUGAGACACGGCCCGAACUCCUACGGGAGGCAGCAGUGGGGAAUAUUGGACAAUGGGCGCAAGCCUGAUCCAGCCAUGCCGCGUGUGUGAAGAAGGCCUUCGGGUUGUAAAGCACUUUCAGUGAGGAAGAACGCCUUGGGCCUAAUACGUCCAAGGGAAGACAUCACUCACAGAAGAAGCACCGGCUAACUCCGUGCCAGCAGCCGCGGUAAUACGGAGGGUGCGAGCGUUAAUCGGAAUUACUGGGCGUAAAGCGCGCGUAGGUGGCUUGAUAAGCCGGUUGUGAAAGCCCCGGGCUCAACCUGGGAACGGCAUCCGGAACUGUCAGGCUAGAGUGCAGGAGAGGAAGGUAGAAUUCCCGGUGU